AUUGAACGCUGGCGGCAGGCCUAACACAUGCAAGUCGAGCGAGCGGCGGACGGGUGAGUAAUGUCUGUGAAACUGCCUGAUGGAGGGGGAUAACUACUGGAAACGGUAGCUAAUCCCGCAUACCAUCAUAUGUGCCCAGCUGGGAUUAGCUAGUAGGUGGGGUAACGGCUCACCUAGACGACGAUCCCUAGCGGGUCUGAUAGGAUGACCAGCCACACUGGAACUGAGACACGGCCCAGACUCCUACGGGAGGCAGCAGUGGGGAAUAUUGCACAAUGGGCGCAAGCCCGAUGGAGCCAUGCCGCGUGUGUGAAGAAGGCCGUCGGGUUGUAAAGCACUUUCAGCGGGGAGGCGUUACCCGCAGAAGAAGCACCGGCUAACUCCGUGCCAGCCGCCGCGGUAAUUC
rnacentral:rRNA from 1 species